rnacentral:lncRNA from 1 species
UUUUCUGAACAUUUCUCUAGUCUCAGUAGCGUCGAACUCCUUUAGGUUUUUGAUAGGAUUUCUUUCUCUUUGUAGUUUAGCUGAAGUUCGGUCGACUCUUUCUUUGUUUAGGAACUUCUACACCUUCAAGCGUCAUCCCUCGGCAAAGGACUGGUGGUACUUUUUCCCUCAGUUCGAUAGAAAGGGGUUUACUGAAAGGCGCCCCCUCUUCUAUCCACAACUGGAAGGAGAGGUUCUUCUAUGUCCGAUGCCCGACCUUGGAGCUAGGAUUACCCCCUUGGGGCUCUCUGAGGGAUUCCGUCCGUCGGGCUUCUAGCCUGGAAAGGGACGACCUCGAAGCCUCCAAAAAGCUCGAGACCUAUCACGCCCCCCUCCUCUCCGAACUUCUGAAGGAACAACUCUUGUUCAACGUCGGCCUGAGUCCUCUUUACCCUGCCGGUACCAUUUUUUUUUCACUACUUCCCCUUUCUCUUAUUCCAUCUCUGAGCCGUGUUGAUCUUCUUUUAUUGCAGACAUGGACGCAGGCGUGGCUCGGAGGUUAGCCUAGGGUCUCAAGACCCACAAGAGAAAAGACGCCUCGACUUCAAGGUCGGUGAAGAAAGCCAGGACAGAAGGGACAAGCUCGACCGCACCUGCUCAGGUGGCCGUUGCCGUUGACGUCCCUUCCGACACCGAACCCGAAGUCCCCCGAGCCCUUUCAAGGAGCCCCCCGGCCAAGGAUCCCACUCCAGAGGCUCAUCCCGAGGGGGCACCCAGAGCCGAAGGGAGGAGAAAGAAGACCC